GCCUUGGUGGCGGAAUGGUAGACGCGUCGGACUUAAAAUCCGGUGGGGUUUAUCCCCCGUGCCAGUUCGAGUCUGGCCCAGGGCA
rnacentral:tRNA from 1 species